rnacentral:lncRNA from 1 species
GAUCAUAAGUCAUAAGGCAUAAAUUUAUACUAUCUUCAUCACAUCAACCACAUAGUGCACGGAGCUACUACAACCGAAGAUAACACAAUGGGAUACAUACCUUAUCAUAUAUAAAUCAGUAGUGGAGGAACCAUAUCAUAUCCACCACAUCAGACAUUUCCCCCUUGUUUGCACAUCAUGAAAGAGACAUCAUCUAAGAAGGAACACUUACAUGUCAUAUUUCUUCCUGUCAGGUG